GUAAUAGAGAUGGAUUAGUAGAUGAUGAAGGAAGAAAACUUCUCAAAAAAUGAAAGAAAGCUUUCUUAGAAAGAAAGGCUCUCUUUUCAUAUGAAAGAAAUCUCCCCUUAACCAAAGUAGUGAAGGGUAUUUAUAGUGGAGGUUUAAUGGAAGGGAAAAUGGAGUCUGGUGGAUGAAAACAAAAGGUGUAUGAAGUGGUAUUUGAUGGAGGAAAGCAACCCAAGAUGAGAUUAAACAAAGAUAAGUGGAAGAGGAAAAGAGACUUCACAUUGUGUGAUCUCUGAUGAAAAAAGAAUAAGGCUAAGAAGGAAGAAGACUAAGAGAAGA
rnacentral:lncRNA from 1 species